AGAGUUUAUCCUGCUCAGGAUGAACGCCGGCGGCGUGCUUAAUACAUGCAAGUCGAACGGAGACUGUAGCAAUACUGUCUUAGUGGCGAACGGGUGAGUAACGCGUUGGUGACCUGCCCCGAAGAGGGGGAUAACAGUCCGAAAGGAUUGCUAAUACCCCAUGUGGUCGUUUGGAUUAGAUGCCUUACGACUAAACGGAUUUAUUCGCUUCGGGAGGGGCCUGCGUCCCAUCAGCUAGUUGGUAGGGUAAUAGCCUACCAAGGCGAUGACGGGUAGGGGACCUGAGAGGGUGGCCCCCCACAAUGGAACUGAAACACGGUCCAUACACCUACGGGUGGCAGCAGUAGGGAAUAUUGGUAAUCUGGGAAACCGGGAACCAGCAACGCCGCGUGCGCGAUGAAGGCCUUCGGGUUGUAAAGCGCUUUUUAAAGGGAUGAGGAAGGACAGUACCUUUAGAAUAAGCCUCGGCUAACUACGUGCCAGCAGCCGCGGUAAAACGUAGGAGGCGAGCGUUAUCCGGAUUUACUGGGCGUAAAGCGUGUGCAGGCGGUUUGAUAAGUUGGAUGUGAAAGCUCCUGGCUUAACCGGGAGAGGUCGUUCAAAACUAUCAGACUAGAGAGUGGUAGAGGGAGAUGGAAUUCCGCGUGUAGUGGUGAAAUGCGUAGAUAUGCGGAGGAACACCAGUGGCGAAAGCGGUCUCCUGGCCCAUUUCUGACGCUCAGACACGAAAGCUAAGGUAGCAAACGGGAUUAGAGACCCCGGUAGUCUUAGCUGUAAACGAUGUGAACUUAGUGUCGGUGGGGUUAAAUCCAUCGGUACUGAAGCUAACGCGAUAAGUUCACCGCCUGGGGAC
rnacentral:rRNA from 1 species